rnacentral:pre_miRNA from 1 species
GGGGGGAGGCUGGAUCUUGGGCUGUGUCCCCAGCACUCUGGGCUCUCGGGCCUGCGCUGCUGGAAUCGCGCUCCUGGUUGCACAGCCCCCU